UACGGAGGGUGCAAGCGUUAUCCGGAUUUACUGGGUUUAAAGGGUGCGUAGGUGGGUAGGAAAGUCAGUGGUGAAAUCUUCGGGCUUAACCCGGAAACUGCCAUUGAUACUAUUUAUCUUGAAUACUUUGGAGGUAAGCGGAAUAUGUCAUGUAGCGGUGAAAUGCUUAGAUAUGACAUAGAACACCAAUUGCGAAGGCAGCUUACUACACAGUUAUUGACACUGAGGCACGAAAGCGUGGGGAGCGAACAGG
rnacentral:rRNA from 1 species